UGGUGAAACAUAACGGUGAUUCUCAGCGACAGGUGGAGUGAGAGGGCGGGGCUGCUCGUCAAUGUUGUGGAUGUCCAGCACUUCACACAUGAACUGGAUGACAGGCUGCGCCUUGUAGAAGGCGGUGGCGGACACUGCGAGCUGCUGGCGCCACAUUUGGCUCUCACCGUCGAUAUUGAGCAUCAUCUUCCACAUGGCGGGGCGCACGGACUGGUGAAAGCCGAACCACACCUCCCUUCCUCCACCAAGGGGGUGAUCGUAGCCUUCUGGAGCUGAGAAGAAGGAGCGGCCCACUGAUUUUAUCAAUAUGGGCAUGUGGGGAGGCGUGGCCGGCAGACCGACAGCGAGGCAGGGCACGCCGGGGCCGACUCC